rnacentral:rRNA from 1 species
UGGGGAAUAUUGCACAAUGGGGGAAACCCUGAUGCAGCAACGCCGCGUGAGUGAUGAAGGUCUUCGGAUCGUAAAGCUCUGUCUUCAGGGACGAUAAUGACGGUACCUGAGGAGGAAGCCACGGCUAACUACGUGCCAGCAGCCGCGGUAAUACGUAGGUGGCGAGCGUUGUCCGGAUUUACUGGGCGUAAAGGGAGCGUAGGCGGACUUUUAAGUGAGAUGUGAAAUACCCGGGCUCAACUUGGGUGCUGCAUUUCAAACUGGAAGUCUAGAGUGCAGGAGAGGAGAGUGGAAUUCCUAGUGUAGCGGUGAAAUGCGUAGAGAUUAGGAAGAACACCAGUGGCGAAGGCGACUCUCUGGACUGUAACUGACGCUGAGGCUCGAAAGCGUGGGGAGCAAACAGGAUUAGAUACCCUGGUGGUCCACGCCGUAAACGAUGAAUACUAGGUGUAGGGGUUGUCAUGACCUCUGUGCCGCCGCAAACGCAUUAAGUAUUCCGCCUGGGGAGUACGGUCGCAAGAUUAAAACUCAAAGGAAUGGACGG